rnacentral:misc_RNA from 1 species
UCUCGACAGUCAGGGGAGUAGACUAUCUCGACAAGCUGUAAUAUCGUCGGUUUUUUACCCAGUAUCUCAAGGUACUAAGGGAUUCCGACCAUAGCUCGACUAUGUGUCGCAACCAAACUUUUUGGAUCAGCCUUCUCGGGGUCAACCGGGAGGCGACAAGAACCUUUUGACAUAUUU